rnacentral:rRNA from 1 species
CAUGGAGGGUGAGAAUCCCGUUCGGUUGACCUUAUGACGCUUUACGAUACGCUCUCAAAGAGUCGAGUUGUUUGGGAUUGCAGCUCAAAAUGGGAGGUAAAUUUCUCCUAAGGCUAAAUAUCGGCGAGAGACCGAUAGCGAACAAGUACCGUGAGGGAAAGAUGAAAAGAACUUUGAAAAGAGAGUAAAAUAGUACGUGAAAUUGUUGAAAGGGAAACGAUUGAAGUCAGUCGUACCGACGGAAAAUCAGCUCUUCGAGUGUGAACUUGUGGGCGUACGUGAGCUUUAACCGGCCUCGUUGUUUGCGAUGUUUGUGCUUUUUGGGUGUACUUUUUCGUAUGGUUGGCCAACGUCAGUCUCGGUUAUCAUAAAAUGAUUGGAGGAAUGUAGCUUCGAUCUUGUAUUGAAGUGUUAUAGCCUCUAGUAGAUGUGGUGAACGAAACUGAGGAUUGCAACGAAUACCCUUCGGGCUAUCCGUCUGACCUCUGAAAGUUGCUUGGGUGCCGAAAGCUUGCUUACGGUCAUCCAUGACGACGGUCAAAAGGUUAGAACGUGAUUAUAUUCGUUAAGGAUGUUGACGUAAUGG